GAUGAAGAACGUAGCGAAAUGCGAUAAGUAGUGUGAAUUGCAGAAUUCAGUGAAUCAUCGAAUCUUUGAACGCACAUUGCGCCCCUUGGUAUUCCUUAGGGCAUGCCUGUUCGAGCGUCAUUUAAACCUUCAAGCUCAGCUUGGUGUUGGGUGACUGUCCGCCGCCUCCGGGCGCGUGGACUCGCCUCAAAAUUAUUGGCGGCCGGUACAUUGGCUUCGAGCGCAGCAGAAACGCGAACUCGGGCCCGUCGUAUUGGCUCCCAGAAGCUAUCUUCACAAUUUUGACCUCGGAUCAGGUAGGGAUACCCGCUGAACUUAAGCAUAUCAAUAAGCGGAGGA
rnacentral:misc_RNA from 1 species